UUCCUGUUCCUAGCCGGACUGACAGGAAGUGCUCCCUUCCUUUCAGUCCGGCCAGGAACAGGAA